GCCUAUAAGGCCUCACAUUCAUCGGGUUUGCUGCAGCUUCUAGAGUAAUAUUAUGGUAUUGUGUUCUUGCUGGUGGUAGACCUACUGGUUCUGAAAAUACCCCACUGAAUUUAUUUAAUAAUCCCUGCAGUCUUCAGUUGUAUCCCCUUUUUGAUUGCUGAAAUUCUGAAUUUCUUCAUUAGUUUCCUCUAUAUAUUCAAAUCUGCAAAAGAAGGCUCCCACUGAUGUUGUUGCUAAUGAAUUCAGCUCUUUCUUAAAAAUAGUAUGUUCUGAAAGCAAGGAUUCUCCAACCCAUAGUACUCUUUCUCCCUUCCAGUUGAACUCGAUGUUCAUGUCAGUGUAAUUAGACAAAACGGAUCCCACUGUUUUAAACCAGUGGAUCCCCAAAACUAAAUUAGCACCUUCCAUAUUCAGUAUGAACAUAUCAAUAUGCAUUGUCACCCUUCUGUUACCUCAAAUGGACACCACUUCUUGUUGAAACAGAAAAAGAAGGAAUGAGGGUGAUUGGUAAUCUCAGAUAUCUAGCCACCUCCUCCUGAAGGAAAUUAUGAGUGGAUCCAAAGCUAAAAGAACUGAGACUUUAGAGUUAUUGAUGUUGGCUGACAAUUUCA
rnacentral:lncRNA from 1 species